AACACCCUAGCCGUCUAACUUCACUUUUCUUAUUUUCGUUCAUAUUGAACAACCAUCCUCCCCUCUUCUCUCUCUCCUCAAUUGACUAUUUCUCUCUCUUCUCAUACGACUCCAACUUUCUCUCAAUUCUCAUUCUUGCAAUGGAAACUGACCUGUUUUUGGUCGAAACAUGCUAUAAUAUCUUCUAGGAAGGGAAUGUUUCCGCUUAAACUUCCAAGUUAAAUCGAUUUUCAAGUUGAAUAGAGAUGAAGCAAUCAAAGAGGAUGAAAAGAACAGCGUAGCCUUCAAAGCAUCAACGUAGCAGUAUUUCUAGAAAUACGAAAAGAAUUAGUGUUGAGGGAAUUUCUCGUGUUUUUUUGUUCAAAAUUUGUGCCGUUAUUUCUAAGAACAACUGAAGAAGGUUCGGAGGUAGAAGCAGAAGUGCGUGCUGAUGGUGGUGUGCUGUUGGGUUGCAGGUUUUUUAUUGGUUUAUUUUAUGCUUGAUUUUUUCCUUUUAUCUCCAGCAUUCUUGUUCUUAUUGGAUCAGUAAUUUGACCUCUUCAAUGAUGUUCAAGCUAUAAGCACAUUAGGUGUUCAAAACAAAAUUGACUUCCUUUCACUGUCAUAUACUCGUUACGCAGAAGAUGUUCUCCAAGCACGUGAGCUACGUCAGGUUUAGGUGAUCUUAGUCAGACUCAUAUAUUUGCAAAGAUUUAAAUUGUUGAGGGUUUGACUCAUUUUGAUGAAAUUCUACAAGAAGCAGAUGGUAUCAUUCUUUCCCGGGAAAUUUGGGCAUAGAUCUCCCUCCUGAGAAGGUUUUCUUGUUCUAAAAGGUUGCUUUUACACAAAUGCAAUAUGGUUGGGAAGCCUGAUGUUGCUACUAGUGUUGUUGGUAGCAUGACCAAUAAUCUAAGGCCUACACGUGCUGAGGCAACUGAUGUUGCGAAUGCUGUAAUAAAUGGUAUACCAUGCAUAGACCACGAUAUGGUGACCAUCUUGACGCAAUCAAAGUUAACCUGUAAGGAUUUCUGGCUUCUUCAAGAAACAGAUAGACAAUCUGAAGAAAAAUCAUUGAUCCAACAAGAGAACAACUUACAUCUUGCAAGGAGGUAUCAUCGUAUCUUCAAUCUUAUUUAGGGAUAAAUAAUGCUAAACUUGUGAGGGACAUUAGGGUUAAAUCUCAACAACUUUAAACUGUAGAUUCCGUCAAUCAUAUGUGCAUGAUCUUUGAGGAUGGCAACUCCAUGAUGGACCUUUCAAAUUCACCUCUACAUAGUGCAUGUUUACCUAUUGAACAUGAGACGGAUGCUUUACCUUUGGGCAUUGAGAAUCUACCAGAUGUUCGGAGUAUUGUUUAUAUAGUAGCUUUUGACGAGAGCAAGGGAGUUGUAAAUUCAAUUUGACAAUUGUGAAAGUUGUAUCUUUGAUUAUAUAAUUAAUUAAAUUUUACAUUUAUUAUUAUUAAAUAUUGAUAAUAGUAAAUAAAAUUUUGCAU